CUGCACCUGCAGCAUAUGGAAUUUCCCAGGCCAGAGGUCAAAUUGGAGCUGCAGCUGCCAAUCUAAGCCACAGCCAUAGCAACACCAGAUCCUAGCAGCAAUGCCUGACCCUUAACCUGCCCAUUGAGGCCAGGGAUCGAACCCAAAUCCUCACAGACACUAUGUCAAGUUCUUAACCUGCUGAGCCACAACAACAGAAACUCCUGACUUAUAGAUUUUAUUUUAUAUUAGACAUAAUAGCCAUUUCCCUUUCAGUGAUUAUAAUCUACUUUAAAGUUUUUAUGUUUACUACUUUUUUUAUUGAGGUAUAGUCAAUUUACAUUGUGUGUUAGUUUCUAAGAUACAGCAAAGUGAUACAUUUAUAUAUAUAUAUUCUUUUUCAUAUUCUUUUCCAUUAUGGUUUAUCUCAGGCUACUGAAUAUAGUUCCCUGUGGUGUGCAGAAGGAUCUUGUUGUUUAUCUAUUUUAUAUAGAGUAGUGUGUAUCUGUUAAUCCCAAACUCCUAAUUUAUCCCUCCCCCACCCCCUUUCCUCUUUGGUAACAAUGAGUUUGUUUUCUAUUAGUGAGUCUGUUUCUGUUUCAUAAAUACAUUCAUUUGUGUCGUAUUUUAGAUUCCACAUAUAAAUUAAAUUUUAUGGUAUUUGUCUUUCUUUUCCUGACUGACUUAGUAUGGUAAUCUCUAGGUCUAUCCAUGUUGCUGCAAAUGGCAUUAUUUCAUUCUUCUUUAAGGCUGAGUAAUAUUCCAUUGUGUAUAUGUACCACAUCUUUAUCCAUUCCCCUGUUAAUGGACAUUUAAGUUGUUUCCAUGUCUUGGCUAUGGUGAGUAGUGCUGUUAUGAACAUUGGACUGCGUCCUUUUUUUCAAAUUAUCAUUUUUUCCGGAUAUAUGCCCAGGAGUAGGGUUGCUGUAUCAUAUGGAAACUCUAUAUUUAGUUUUUAAAGGAACCUCUAUACUGUGUUCCAUCGUGGCUGCACCAAUUCAUAUUCCUACCAGCAGUGUAGGAGGAUUCCCUCUUCUCCACUCCCUCUCCAGCGUUUAUUAUUAGACUUUUUAAUGAUGUCCAUUCUGACCAGUGUGAGCUUGUAUCUCAUUGUCAUUUUGCCGUGCCUUUCUCUAAUAAUUAGCGAUACUGAACAUCUUUUCAUGUGCCUACUGGCCAUCAGUAUGUCUUCUUUGGAGAAAUGUCUGUUUAGACUUUAUGCCCAUUUUUUGAUUGUGUUAUUUGUUUUUUGUUGUUGUUGUUGUUAUUGAGUUGUAUGAGCUGUUUGUGUAUUUUGGAAAUUAAUCCCUUGUCAAUCAUAUCAUUUGCAAAUAUUUUCUCCCAGUCUGUAGGUUGUCUUUUCAUUUUAUUUAUGGUUUCCUUUGCUGUGUAAAAGCUUAUCAGUUUAUUUAGGAACCAUUUGUUUAUUUUUGCUUUUAUUUCUACUGCCUUGGGAGACUGACCUAAGAAAACACUGGUGGAGUUCCUGUCGUGGCUCAGUGGUUAAUGAAUCCGACUAGGAACCAUGAGGUUGCAGGUUCGGUCCCUGCCCUUGCUCAGUGGGUUAAGGAUCUGUUUUUGUUGUGUAAUAGAUGAAACAUAUGGAAGUUCAUAUGUGACACUGAUGUAAAUUAAGAAGCACAAAAAUAAACACCUGUGAAUCUAUAACCUAAGAUGAGGAAAUAACAUAUUAUAAACAUCACUGAAGACCCUAGUGUAUAUGCUCUGCAGCAUGCCUCCAACACUUUAUUUAAUAUAGUAAAUAAAUAUUAAUAUAGUUCCCCAUGUUAGCAGGAAGACAACAGAAGGUCGUAAAGAACGUAGGCUCUGGAUUAAAAUUCUACCCUUUCCACUUGUUAUAUGCAUAAGAUUAGGCAAAUGACUUCAUUUCUCUAUACCUUUCCCAAUCUUCAUCUGUAAAAUGGGAUUAAAUUGUAUUCAUCUUGUAGAGUUUGAUGAUUACAUGAGAUAUGCAACACUUUUUGUAAUAAGGGAAACCUGGAGCUUGAAAACAAUGUAAUACAAAUAUUCAUUAACAAGGGACAAGUCAAAAAAAUUGGUAAACGCAAAUGACUUCUGUUGAGCACAUACAAAAGAGAUCGGAUGUAUGGUUACUUAAGGUAGGAGGUGGGGGGAGGAGGAAUUGGAUGAAGGUGAUUAGAAGAUACAGACGUCCAGUGAGAAGAUAAAGAAGUACUAGGGAUAUAAUAUACAGUGAUAAAUAUAAUUAACACUGCUAUGUGUUAUAUAUGAAAGUUGUUAAGAGAGUAAAUCGUAAGUGUUCCCAUCACAAGGAAAAAUUUUUUUUUCUACUUUUAUUUCGUGUCUGCCUGAGAUGAUAGAUGUUCACCAAACUUCCUGCAGCAAUCAUCUCAGGAUGUAUGUAAGUCAAAUCAUGACGCUGUACACCUUAAACUUACACAGUGCUGAAUGUCAAUUAUCUCAAUGACAUUGGAAGAAAAGGGAAUUCUCAUUGUGGCUCAGUGGUUAACGAACCCGACUAGUAUCCACGAUGACGAGGGUUCAAUCCCUGGCCUCCAUCAGUGGGUUAAGGAUCCAGCAUUGCUGUGAGGUGCAGUGUAGGUCUCGGACGUGGCUCUGAUUCAUCCCCUAGCCUGGGAACUUCCAUACGCCAAGGGUGCGGCCCU
rnacentral:lncRNA from 1 species